UGAACGCUGGCGGCGUGCUUAACACAUGCAAGUCGUACGAGAACGCUCUAGCUUGCUAGGGCAAGUAAAGUGGCGCACGGGUGAGUAACGCGUGGGUAAUCUACCUUCGAAUUGGGGAUAACGUUGCGAAAGCGACGCUAAUACCGAAUAACAUCCAUUAAUCUUAGGGUUUUUGGAUCAAAGAUGGCCUCUACUUGUAAGCUAUUGUUUGAAGAUGAGCCCGCGUACCAUUAGCUUGUUGGUGGGGUAACGGCCUACCAAGGCAGCGAUGGUUAGCUGGUCUGAGAGGAUGAUCAGCCACACUGGAACUGACACACGGUCCAGACUCCUACGGGAGGCAGCAGUGAGGAAUUUUGCGCAAUGGGCGAAAGCCUGACGCAGCAACGCCGCGUGAGUGAUGAAGGCUUUCGGGUCGUAAAGCUCUGUCAAGUGGGAAGAACCUAUAUAAUGCCAAUACCAUUGUAUACUGACGGUACCACUGAAGGAAGCACCGGCUAACUCC
rnacentral:rRNA from 1 species